ACAAUGCCUAUGCCUAAUGCAGGCGCUAUGUUGUCUGAGGCAACUUACCGUGGUUCCCUGAACCUCAAGUUCCUCAUCAGUGGAACAGGCUUCAUCACGUACAACCUCCUGGGUCACUGUGGGAGUUCAGUGAGAUCACCAAUACAUGCAAAGCACUUACGGAGGCCAGCCUGGCACACAAGUGCUCGAGAGCCCCCGAGACUCUCAGUGGGAAAUGAGGCAUCGCCACUAUUUUUAUUAUAACCCUCACUGCUUCGGAGCAGCCUCCCAGCAGGGGGUUACAAACUGGCUCCUGUCAAGGGCGGCUUGAAUGAGGGCACCAACCGGGUGCCCGCUGCUGUGCCACAGAGGUGGAGAAAGGAGCAACAAGACUCAGUUCUCAAUGUCAAUGGAGACAGACAAGCAGACAGACGUGCGUCACGCGACCCGCUGAAGUGUCUGAGUGUACCAGCCAAGUGGCCCUGGAACCAGCCUGCUAGGGUCUUCAUUUCGCCCGGAACAACAGGAGUCUGGUCCCUGAGCUAGAGCAGAGGUAGCCAAGCCUGGAGGAAGCUGAUGCUGCGCGGACACCUGGCAGGGCACUAGUGCUCCGUGGCUGGCUGUGCCUGUGUCUCUCCUGGGACAGUGUGGAAUCAAGCACCUGUGGGUCCGGCCAAAGCGGUCAUUUGCAUGAAAUUGGAGCAGGUCCUGAAGCCUGAGAGGGCAGAGCUUCGCAAGGAAGAGUGGCAGCCACGUGGUCCUUCCUGACAGCGAGAUGUGGAACCUCCGUUGCGGUGGGUUCCCAGUCCGAGGCACAGAGCCGACAGCAAGGGCACCAGUUGGUCCAGACCACGCUGUCUGAGGGGCUGGCCAUACAGGCUCAGACUCCUGUCUGGCAGACGGAGAACCCUCAGCUGGACACCAUCCCCCUCUGCCUGGGUGGAAGCAAGAAAACUCCAGGAACCCCCUGAGCCCCAGAGAGAGGGAGGACCAGGAUCAGAAGGCAUUGGGUGAGAAUGAACUACUGGGUUUAUUGGCCUUUUUCUCCUCCUGGAGUCUGUAAGUGUCUGUAAGGGACCAAGACCCCUCAGCGCCAUUCUACUCACAUACACGUGGUCUCUGGACCGUGUGAGUCAUUUCAGAUCAAAGCUAACCCAGGAAAGAGCAGAAUCCCUGACCACUGCUGUCACUCCAGAUGACCAGGAAAUGCUGCGGGGGUUUCUUGUUCUGUAGUGACUAAGGAACCACACGACCUAAUGAGUCGGAAAUAAUCCUAUACAUUAAUUAAAAGACAAAUGAUCAUAUAGAAUAGAGCUGUUAUGAUUACAGGUGCUGAUAAAGUCAACACGGAGUGGGGAGGGGGUGGCCUAGGGGACCUCCAACCUAGCCCACGGUAGGUGGAGUCCAGAGAGAUGGAAAGAGCUGAGCCUUAGGUGGUGAAGCAGCAGCAGGAAGGGCCCUCCUGGUACAGGGCACGGGCCUGAGCAAAGGCGUCGAGCUGAGAAGCGGCCUGGGGGAUCCAAGGGUUGCUAAGGAAGAGCCAGACAAGCCUCCGCGGCCCAUGAGGCCGAGCUAUGGAACUCAGGUCCUUUGAGCCAGGUCACGAACCUGGGGACAAUGAGAAGGUUGUAAGCCGUGCAGGGACAGAUCUGAUUUUGAGUUUUGCCAACGAUCCUGGUUGGACUAUGGAGGAGGGACUGGGAGGGUGAGGCAAGAAGACAGGGAGAUCACAUAGGAGACGGAGUGGCAAAAGGGAGGAAAGGUUUCCUGUCCCUCGGGGUUGUUUUAUUUUUUAUUGUUUUUAAAAAAGAUUUUAUUUAUUUAUUUGACAGAGAGAGACUCAGCAAGACAGCGAAUGCAAGCAAGAGGAGUGGGAGAGGGAGAAGCAGGCCCCCCGCCGAGCAGGGAGCCCAAAGCCCGCUUUGGGCUCCCUCCCAGGACUCUGGGAUUAUGACCUGAGCCCAAGGCAGACGCUUAACCACUGAGCUGCUUAAUGAGGGCACCACCGGGGGUUGUUUUAAAGGCUAAGUGGCAAUACUACUGAUAAUGGGCCUAGCACGGGGCCUGGCACAGAGUGGGUAUUCACAGCUCGCAGUGAGCAUAGCUAAUGCUGAGAGGUCUGGACUAGGGCAGAGGUGGUAGGGAUGGAGGAGGGCACUGGCUUGAGAAAUGCCGAGAAAGGCAAAUCUGGGGGCGCCUGGGGGGUUCAGUGGGUUAAGACUCUGCCUUCAGCUCAGGUUGUGGUCUCAGGUUCCUGGGAUCAAGCCCCGCAUUGGGCUCUUUGCUUGGCAGGGAGCCUGCUUCUUCCUCUCUCUGCCUGCCUCUCUGCCUACUUGUGAUCUCUCUCUCUGACAAACA